UCCAGGGUAGCCUAGUGGACAUGGCAUCUGCCCGGUAAGCGGAACACUAUGGGUUCGAUUCCCAUCUCUGGAC
rnacentral:tRNA from 1 species